UGGGGAAUAUUGGACAAUGGACGCAAGUCUGACCCAGCAACGCCGCGUGAAGGAAGAAGGCUUUCGGGUUGUAAACUUCUUUUAAGGGGGAAGAGCAGAAGACGGUACCCCUUGAAUAAGCCACGGCUAACUACGUGCC
rnacentral:rRNA from 1 species